ensembl:lncRNA
CCAUUCUGUUCCCAUCAGGUGCGUCACCGAACUCUGGAUGCUGCCAUCUUGUCAGGCUAGAGAUGGGAAGUGAGGCACAGGCCCUGCUUGCUCUCAGAUCCAGCACUGAAGGGGAGAGCAAUCACCUCCUCCACACCCUGGGCUCAGCUGGGCAGGGAGUGAGGAGGUACAAUCUGACUCUAUGUCCCACAAGUCGCGAUGUGGCAACUGGAAAUGUUUACUGAAAAUGGUAACCACACAACAACUUUGUAAGGGACCAGAUUUGUCAUCAGAUCCAAGAGGCAAACACUGCUUCGCAGACGUACAGUGGGAACUGUACUGUGCACUUGCACAUGAGAUGGCCCUCUACCUGUUUUGGCAACCACAAGACGGACCCUUUAUAUACAACCCUGGGGAGUCCUCCCUUCAGGACAUCUUUCCAUUGAAAUACAGAGAUGAUGACUUCAGCCACUGUGGUGAAGUCUCAAUGGAGGCCAUUCAGAUGCUCAAGGAAGGGGAUUGUCAGGAGGUGAGACUGGAAAAGUCAAAGCCACAUUUGGAAGGACCUUGCAAGCUAGGCUAA